rnacentral:lncRNA from 10 species
CGAGCAUCUGUAAUCCCAGCUUCUUGGGAGGCUGAGGCAGGAGAAUAGCUUGAACCUGGGAGGUGGAGGUUGCAGUGAGCCGAGAUCACCCCAUUGCACUCCUGCCUGGGAGUGCAACAGAGUGAGACUUGGUCUGAAAAAAAUAAAAAAUAAAUAAAUUUUAAAAGAUGCCCUGAAGAAGGAUCGGGGGUUCAGUUUAUCCAAGAGAGCACUAACUUUUGGGACUAAUUUUCCAAAAGCCAAAAGCCAAAAGCCUUCUUGGCAAAAUCUCAGCGCUACCUCUUAUAACCCUGCCAAACAGUCUUAGUGCUUUAUUUUCUGUCUAGGGACCAUCUAUACUUUUUACCUAAAAUGGAAGUGUAUUUGUUCAGCAAACAUUUGCUGCACACUUACUCUGUAUAGAGUUUUAGAGGAAAACAAGGAAACAGAAGAAAUCACAUCUUUAAAAGGCUCACAGUUUAAUUCAGAGACUUGCAGCCGUACCUUAGAGUUAGGCUAAGAGGGUUCACAGUGACCUUGGUUCCUGCUACUCAUCUUCCCUUCCUAGUUAUUUCUCUUUGCAUCCCUCCUUUGCUAAAGUCUGGAGCUCUCUUGCUGCUCUCUGUCCAUCUAAAGUAGCCUUUUGCAUUCAUUUACAUAGACACAUCUUUUGAUGUUCCAUGCUCCAAAACGAACUCUCGUGUUUUUUUCCAUAUCCCUAAUAAGGACUCCCAUGCUACAGAGUCUGACCCUAAAUGUCUAAAGAAAACAGUCUUACGUGGGGAUAAGGUGAACAAGAUUAAUAGGCUUAAUUCUCCCCUUUCCCACCUCUCACUUAGGGAGGAUUUAUGUUUUAAAUAACCUUUACACAUGUAAAUUAAUUAGUCUGAAACAGUGUCAUUGGUGGGAUGUGUGAGCAGGGUGCUUGAGUGUCGCUUUCUGUUCUGAUCGUGUGCUGACCUCCAUGCUAAACUCUGAAAUCACACAUCAGUAUGGACUCAUUGAAUAGUUACAUAGAAGGGCCUAUCUAGAAACAAACAAAUGAAAAUUACGUGGAGUAUACAUGGCUUCAUAACAUUUGAGGGCAAGCAAAAUACAGAGAAACAAAUCAAGGAAAAGGUUUGUUGAGACAGACUCCCUGGGGUAGGAAUGUUUUCAUGUGGGUUUUCAAGGGGGUGACGUCAUAUGCAAACCCGAUCCCACUUUUUCUCCUUUCUUAGAAGUUCUGAAAGAGAGAUGAGAGUGCAGAUAUAGAUGAGGAUAGUCUGUCUAAGGAUAAUACCAAAGAGUCUAUUUCAGAAGACACAACAAUACUGAAAUUAGGCCAAAUAAUAACCUUCCAGUGGUCUCUAAGUGUUCAAGUGAAAGGAAGAGUAACACAUCUCUCACUUGAAGUCAAAAGCAGAAAUCAUUCGGCUUGGUGAGGAAGGCAUAUGGAAAGCUGAGAUAGGCUGAAAGCUAGGCCUCUUGGGACAAACAGCCAAGUUGUGAGGGCAAAGGAAAAUUAUUGAGGGGAAUUAAAAGUGCUACUCCAGUGAACCCACAAAGGAUAAGAAAGUGAACUGGUCUUAUUGCUGAUAUGGAGAAAGUUUUAUUUGUCCGGAUAGAAGAUCAAACCAGUCACAACAUUCCUGUAAACCAAAGCCUAAUCCAGAGCAAUGUCUCAACUCCUUCAAUUCCAUGAAGGCUGAGAGAGGUCAGGAAGCUGCAGAAGAAAAGCUGGAAGCUAACAGAAGUUGGAUUGUUAUGUUUAAGGAAAGAAGCCAUCUCCAUAACCUAAAAGUGUGAAGUAAAGCAGCAAGUGUUGAUGGAGAAGCUGCAGCAAGUUAUCCAGAAGAUCUAGCUAAGAUCAUUGAUGAAGGUGGCUACACUAAACAGCAGAUUUUCAAUGUAAACAAAACAGCCUUCUAUUCGAAGAUGCCACUGAGGACUUUCAUGGCUCGAGAUGAAAAGUCAGUGCCUGGCUUCAAAGCUUCAAAGGACAGGCUGACUCUCUUGUUAGGGGCUAAUGAAGCUGGUGACUUUGAGUUAAAGCCAGUGCUCAUUGAUCAUUCUGAAAAUCAUAAGACCCUUAAAAUUAUGCUAAAUUGACUCUGCCUAUGUUCUAGAAAUGAAGCAACAAAGCAUGAAUGAUACCACAUCUGUGUACAGCAUGGUUUCCUAAAUAUCUUAAGCCCACUGUUGAGACCUGCUGCUCAGGAAAAAAUAUUCCUUUCAAAAUGUUAUUGCUCAUUGACAAUACACCUGAUCACUCAAGAGCUCUGGAAGAGAUGUACAAGGAGAUGAGCGUUGUUUUCAUUCUGGGUAACACAACAUCCAUUCUGUAGAUCAUGAAUCAAAGAGUAAUUUUGACUUUCAAGUCUUACUAUUUAAGAAAUCCAUUUUGUAAGGCUAUAGCUGCCAUAGAGAGUGAUUCCUCUGAUGAAUCCGGGCAAAAUAAAUUGGAAACCUUCUGGAAAAGAUUCACCAUUCUAGAUGCCAUUAAGAACAUUCAUGAUUCACAGGAGGAAAUCAAAAUAUCAAUAUUAAUAGGAGUUUUGAAGAAGGUGAUUCUAACCCUCAUGGAUGACUUUGAGGGGUUCAAGACUUGAGUAGAGGAAGUGACUGCAGAUGUGGUGGGAAUAUCAAGAGAGCUAGAAUUACAAAUGCAGCAAGAAGAUGUCAUUGAAUUGCUGGAAUUUCAUAAUCAAAUUUGAAUAGAUGUCAAGUUGUUUCUUAUGGAUGAGCAAAGAAAGUGGUUUCUUGAGAUGGUAUGUACUCCUGGUGAAGACGCAGUGAGCAUUGGUGAAACUACAUCAAAGGCUUUAGAAUAUUCCAUAAAGUAAGUUGAGAAGCAGAGACAGAAUAUGAGAGGAUUGACUCUAAUGUUAAACAAAGUUCUGCUGUGGGUAAAAUACUAUCCAACAGCUUCUCAUGCUACGGCGAAAUCUUUCAUGGAAGAAAGAGCCAAUCGAUGUGGCAAACUUCACCAUUGUCUUAUUUUAAGAACUUGCCACAGCCAUCUCAAACUUCAGCAAUGACCAGUCUGAUCAGUCAACAGCCAUCAACAUCGAGGCAAGACCCUCCACUAGCAAAUAAUUACUUGUUGAAGGCUCAGAUUAUUAUUAGCAUUUUUAACAAUAAAGCAUUUUUUUCUUUAAGUUGAUCCUUCAACAACACAGAUUUGAACUACGUGGGUCCACUUACACGUGGAUCCACUUAUACAUCGAUUUUCUUCUACCUCUGCCACCCCUGAGACAGCAAGACCAACCCCUCCUCUUCCUCCUCCUCAGCCUACUCAACAUGAAGACACUGAGGAUAAAGGCCUUCAUUUAACAAAUUGUGAAUAUGUUUUCUCUU